rnacentral:misc_RNA from 1 species
GAAAUGCGAUAAGUAGUGUGAAUUGCAGACUUUAGUGAAUCAUUGAAUCUUUGAACGCACAUUGCGCCUUUUGGAAUUCCACUAGGCAUGCCUGUUCGAGCGUCAUAUACUCUUUCAAGCACUAGCUUGGUGUUGGGUGUUUGUUCUGCAUCAUGCAAGGAACUCGCCUUAAAGGCUUUUGGCAGUUAGCCUGUCAGCUUUUUACGCAGCACUUGCGUCUUCUAAGCUAGACAGGCUAACAACCCAGCAAGCAACCCCUUUAGUUUGACCUCGAAUCAGGUAGGGUUACCCGCUGAACUUAA